rnacentral:rRNA from 1 species
GGGCCUGCACAAGCGGUGGAGCAUGUGGUUUAAUUCGAUGAUACGCGAGGAACCUUACCAGGGCUUAAAUGUAGUAUGACCGGUCUAGAAAUAGGCCUUCUCUUCGGAGCAGAUUACAAGGUGCUGCAUGGUUGUCGUCAGCUCGUGCCGUGAGUGUUAGGUUAAGUCCUAUAACGAGCGCAACCCCUACCGUUAGUUGCCAGCGUGUAAUGACGGGGACUCUAACGGAACUGCCGGUGCAAACCGUGAGGAAGGUGGGGGAUGACGUCAAAUCAUCACGGCCCUUACAUCCUGGGCCACACACGUGCUACAAUGGUAGGACAACAGGUUGCCAACCCGCGAGGGUGAGCCAA